GCAGUCCAGCGAGCGCCGGCGGAUGGCUUGCCCUACGAAGGCAGGGGGUUGUUGGUUCGAUCCCAACCAGGUGCUCCA
rnacentral:tRNA from 1 species